rnacentral:misc_RNA from 1 species
UAGCGAGUCAUUUUUUAGGCAGUGCGACAGUAAACAAUUUCAUGUUAUGACAUGAACUAAUUUGCAUACGUUUACAUAUGCCAAUUAAAAUCAAACAUAUGAUAAUAAACAAGUGCCUUAAUAGCUGAGAAUUUUAAUUGUUGACUGUGAAUGUAAAGGGGUUUAAAAACGCAAAUCUACUGUGUGAGAAUAUUUUUAUUGAUGCAAAGGAAAGGGACUUCUGUGCUGAUAAUCCAGUCAAAGGAAGAUGAAACGGAUCCAAAGAACAAAUACUCCAUGGUAAAACCGCACCACCACCACCAUAAGGACGGCAAUCUUAUCGUCAGAGUUUUUGUGGAUUUACUAUGCUUCGCAGUGACAGGGAUUGGGAUGUUGUUGGUCGAACGUUUUGGCUCUCCGACUAUAUCGGGUUUUUAUUGCCCCAAUGCACAUCUCACACAUUCUGUAAAACCUGUUGCUUUGGGAGAUUCUUCCGUCUUAAUUGUAGGAGCUUUCGUUCCGUUUAUAUCGAUUUUUUUAACUGAAUUGGUAAUUGUGCACGUGAAGAAAACGACCCAUAAAAGCGGUACCUGGUUGUUCAACGUGUACCUUUAUGCAACAAACUACUUUUUCUCCAUGAUAGUCGUACUCUUCAUUACCGACGUUCUUAAAUACUCGUUCGGCAGUCUCAGUCCUACUUUUUUCGCCAUUUGCCAGCCAGAUGUCAACUGCUCCGUCUCGGAUAACCAAUUUAAGUACAUCGACAACUACACUUGUCUCGGCAACGACACAAAAAGCAUCAAGCAGGCGAGGCUCUCGUUCCCGUCUGAACACUCAUCCACGAUGGGCCAUGGGAUCUCGUUCAUGGUUGUGUACAUUGAGAAAAAACUUCGUUGGCAUGGAGCGUUCUUGGUUAGAAAAUUACUUCAAGGAGGUUUAAUUUCAAUCGGGGUGUUAAUGUCAUCCUGGCAACUCAGUGACAAUUCACAUCACAGUUUGGACGUCCUCGGUGGAUUCACGCUCGGGUCCGUUUUCGGUUGUUUCACUUGCCUCACCACAAAAAAUAAACAUCAUUCCAGCUGAAUCUGUAUAACCUUUUCUUAAAAAUACAUUCUAAAAAUAUUUUAGAUUGUCGUUAUAAGGGCCACUGAAUGAACAUGUGAUAUUUUAAAUAGAUUUAUCAGUGCCGCACAAUCCACCAAUGCAAUCAUCAGUAAUGUUCGACUAAUUUAAGAACAAUAAUAGUUUGUUAGAUGUAAGAUAAACUGGAUGUAAAAUAAAGUUUUUCUAAAAAAAGACAGUCGUUCAAUUUUUAUUCUUAUAGGUUGGCUGGCACCGACAAUGUUAAUGAAUAUAAUUACAUAAGUCAAUUUUUGAACAUAAGUUAAAAAGUAAGACGGAAUGAGAUAUUUGAGCCAUAUGUUAUUUUUUAAUAUUCAACAAAUACAGUGAUAGUGUUUUUCAAGAGAUGGAAAUCCUCACGUCUGUUCAGAUAUUUACCGAUUUAUUUAGCGUAUUAAGCGCAAUGGUGUUCGCCUGUUCGUACCCACUUGUCGCGACAAUUAAUUUUCGGGGAUUUAGCUGCGAAGAUUCUUCAAUUAGAUAUCCUACCGUGGAGGAUUCACUUUCUGAAUCGAAUUUAGCGAUAUCGUUGUACCUCAUACCUUUUUUGAUUUUCAUCAGUUGCGAAACCGCUUUGUUCCCAUGGAGCAAGCCCAACGUACCGAGGUUUCUGUACCUAGUCACCUUGUACCAAAUCGUGUUACCUCUUCUUCUUGGCAUCUUCGCUCUGAAAGGACUCGUCGCGGUUUUGAAGACUUCUGUGGGGAGGCUGGGACCGACAUUUGUUGAAGCCUGUCAACCGGAUAUCAAUUGCACCCUACCGGAAUAUCAUUUCAGGUAUAUCACGAAUUACACUUGCGUCAGAAACGGUACGAAACUUGAGGAACUGUCCCGUCAGUCCUUUCCGUCCGGCAUUUCCGCAGACGCGGCCCAGAUGGUAGUCCUCGUAGCGUUGUUCAUCGAGGCAAAGGUGGAGUGGUCUGGUAUUAACCUAGUGAAGCGUCUUAUGCAGUUGGUAGUUCUCUGUUUCGGCUUGGACGUCUGCCUCACCAGGGUUUCCGAAUAUAGAGAGCACUGGAGCGAUGUGAUGACUGGCAUCCUGAUGGGUGUCGUGUUUGCGUUCUUCACGGCCUUCUACCUAUUGAAUUGGUUCAAAUCAUCAUCCCCACGGGAGAUAUCGGACGAAAGCAUCGCAUCAGCAGGAAGUAUUGAAUCUUGAACACAAAUAAAUAUUUACCCUUC